AGCAGUAGGGAAUCUUCGGCAAUGGGAGAAAUCCUGACCGAGCAAUGCCGCGUGAAGGAAGAAGGUUUUCGGAUUGUAAACUUCUGUUGUAUAGGAAGAAUGGCAGAUGUAGUGGAAAGACAUUUGAAUGACGGUACUAUACUAGAAAGCCACGGCUAACUACGUGCCAGCAGCCGCGGUAAUACGUAGGUGGCAAGCGUUAUCCGGAAUUAUUGGGCGUAAAGGGUGCGCAGGCGGUCAUUUAAGUCUGUGGUGAAAGCGUGGGGCUCAACCCCAUACAGCCAUAGAUACUGGAUGACUGGAGUGCAGGAGAGGGCAGUGGAAUUCCAUGUGUAGACGGUGAAAU
rnacentral:rRNA from 1 species